AAAAAGGGAGAGGGAGAGAGAGAGAGAGAGAGAGGGAGAAAGCGGGCGAGCGAGGAGGCAGGCUUUUCCUUUUCUGGUAGUUAUAGCUGGUGAAAGCCAGAGCAGGAAUUCUUUGUCCUGCAGCGCGGGUGAGAUAUAAGCCAGACGGAGGAGGUGGUGGGGAAUCGUUCAUGGGCUAAGCGUCGACAGAGCUAAGCCUGAAAGGGGGAGCAUGGAUCCAGUGGCCGCCAUGGAAGACGACUUCGAACGUCGCAGGGAGCAGAGGAGGCAGAAGCGGGAGGAGAUGCGAUUGGAGGCGGAAAGGAUGAGUUAUCAGAGGACUGAUGAUGAUGAUGAAGAAGCAGCUCGAGAACGCAGACGCAGGGCUCGGCAGGAGAGACUGCGCAACAGGGAGAACGAGGAGGCGGCUGCCGUGACAACGGAGAGCACCACGAUCAACAACACCAACAGUGUGACGGAGACAGUCACCACGGUGACCGAGGUGGCCACCGAGGACGACCAGGCGCUCCUCGACAGGCUGGCCAAGCGAGAGGAGCGUCGCCUGAGGAGGAUGAAGGAGGCGCUGGAGAGGCAGAAGGAGCUGGACCCCACCAUCGCCGACGGCAACGAUAACGGCCAGGAGGAGCAGCCGGAGGGCCGGAGGGGACGGCACCGCGGCGAGGAGCAGGAGGAGCUCAACGACAAGGCCCCCGAAACCAACGCCUGGAAGGCGGAGAAGAAGGAGGAGCCGGAGGAGGUGAAACGUCAGGAGAAGGAGGCGGCCGUGGAGGAGAAAGAGGAGCCCGCGCCCGAGGAACCCCCAGCGGAGCCCGAGGAGCCGGAGGAGGAGGUGGAGGAGAAACCGAGGAGGUCCUACCUGAGAGAACAGGAAGAGGUAGAAGAAAAAACUGUCACAUCAAAUAAAGAGGUUGAAGAAAUAGCUAUUAUUUCAAACACAGAGGUCGAAAAAAUAUUACCAUCUAAGGUGGAGGAACCAGAAAUAGCAAAGAAAGAGGUUGAAAAAGAACCUGCAAUUUCCAAACCAGAGGUUAAAGAACAACCUGUGACAUCAGAGGAAGAUAAACCUGUUAAAUCAAAGAAAGAGGUUGAAGUGGAACUUAUCAUAUCAAAAAAUGAGUUUGAGGAGAAACCCGUGGUAGCAAAGGUGGAAGCCAAAGAAAAACCUGUGAUGGUAAAGGUAGAGGUUGAGGAAAAACCUGUGAUCACAAAAGAAGAGGUUGAAGAGAAACCUGCGAUAACGAAGAAGGACAUUCAAGAGAAACGUGUGAUAGCAAAGAAAGAGGUUGAAGAGAAACCUGUUGUAACGAAAAAAGAGGUUGAAGACAAACCGUUGAUAGCAAAGAAAGACAUUCCAGAGAAACCUGUGAUAGGAAAGAAAGAAGAUAAAGAGAAACCUGUUACAACAAAAAAAGAAGUUGAGGAGAAACUGGUGAUAGCGAAGAAAGAUGUUCAAGAGAAGCCUAUGAUACCAAAGAAAACGACUGAAGAGAAACCUGUUUUACCAAAGAAAGAGGUUGAAGACAAAUCAAUGAUAACAAAGAAAGGUAUUCAAGAGAAAUCUGUGACAGCAAAGAAAGAGGUUGAAGAGAAAUCUCUCCUUUCAAAGAAAAAGGUUGAAGAAAAAACUACCAUAUCAAAAAAAGAGGAGGUAAUAGAGGAGAAACGCAAAAGUCCCUUCAUGAAAGGACAGGAGGCUGUAGAGGAAAAGACAAAAUGGUCCAUCAGAAAAGAGGAGGUGUUUGAGAAGAAGGUGAAGGAAGUCACUCCGCCGUCCAAGCAGCAGAACGGAGCGGUCCAUGACAACACCUCCGCCAAGCACAAGAAACCCGAGAGGACUCUGAGCCGUGGGAGCAUGCGCUCUCCAGAGGUGGAGGAGCAGGACGAUGCCGCUCGACAGGAGGCGGAGCGCAAGCUGGAGGAGCUGAAGCGUCGCCGCGACGAUGCGGAGAGCGAGGAGUUCGAGAAGAUGAGGCAGAAGCAGCAGGGGGCCGAGGCCGAGCUGGAGGAGCUGAAGAGAAAGAGGGAGGAAAGGAGGAAGGUCCUAGAAGAGGAGGAGAAACGGAAGAAGCAGGAGCGCGAGGAGAAGAAGGCCAAGGAAGAGGAAGAGAAGAGGAAGAUGAAGGAGGAGAUUGAGAGGAGGAGGGCGGAGGCUGCGGAGAAGAGGCAGAAAGUGGAAGAGUCGGGCGACGGAGAGGGCAAGAAGCCGUUCAAGUGUGUCAGUCCCAGGGGCUCCUCCCUCAAGAUCGGCGAGAGGGCGGAGUUCUUAAACAAGUCUGCUCAGAAAAGCGCGGUGAAGCCGACGCACCUUCCCGUCGUCUCCAAGAUUGACAACCGACUGGAGCAGUACACCACUGCCCUUCAGUCCAGCAAGGAUCCCAAGUCCCCCAAGGCGGCAGCGGCGGACCUGCCGGUGGUGACCGACGGGAUCCGGAACAUCAAGAGCAUGUGGGAGAAAGGGAAUGUGUUCGGCUCUCCGGGGAGUCCAGGGAACACAAACAAGGAAGCUGUGGGCAUGAAGAUAGGCGUGGCCGGGCGUAUCAACGACUGGCUGACCAAAACCCCCGAGCCUGGCAAAGCUGCCGCGGCCAAGCCUGCUCCAAUCGUUUUUGCUCUGCUUGGUAGUCCCUGUUACUCUCCGUUCUCCUUGGACUCCUCUCUCUUGUGCUUCUCUUGCCUUUCCCUCCACGGCAGGACCUGAAACCUGGUGAUGUCACCAACAAGCGCAGCCUAUGGGAAAACAAGGGUUCCCCCGCGACCAAGCCUUCUCUUAGUUAGUCGACUUCGCCUCUAAACCGGAGAUGAGCAGAAGAGGUGGCGAUCGGAGGCAAGAGCAAAGCGGUCACCAAUGCAGGGACGGGACAUUAACCAUACUGAGUCUGAGACCUGAGAAGGCCGGAAUCAGCAAAAAAAAAAAAAAAAAAA